AGAAUCAACGCUGGCGGCGCGCUUAACACAUGCAAGUCGCACGAGAAAGCUGGAGCAAUCCGGUGAGUAAAGUGGCGCACGGGUGAGUAACACGUGGAUCAUCUACCUUCUAGUGGGGAAUAACCCUGGGAAACCGGGGCUAAUACCGCAUAAGCUCGAAAGAGGAAAGCGUCGUCCCUUAAAAAGAUGACGCGCUGGAAGAGGAGUCCGCGGCCGAUUAGCUAGUUGGCAGGGUAACAGCCUACCAAGGCUUUGAUCGGUAGCCGGCCUGAGAGGGCACACGGCCACACUGGCACUGAAACACGGGCCAGACUCCUACGGGAGGCAGCAGUGGGGGAAUCUUGCACAAUGGGGGCAACCCUGAUGCAGCGACGCCGCGUGAGUGAUGAAGCCUUCGGGGUGUAAAGCUCUUUCGGCAGGAACGAAUCUUGACGGUACCUGCAGAAGAAGCUGCGGCUAACUACGUAGCCAGCAGCCGCGGU
rnacentral:rRNA from 1 species